rnacentral:rRNA from 1 species
GAUCCUGCUCAGGACGAACGCUGGCGGCGUGCUUAACACAUGCAAGUCGAACGAGAAUCUGCGGAAAGAGGAUUCGUCCAAUUGAAGCAGAGGACAGUGGCGGACGGGUGAGUAACGCGUGAGGAACCUGCCUUUCAGAGGGGGACAACAGUUGGAAACGACUGCUAAUACCGCAUGACACAUCGGAGUCGCAUGGCUCUGAUGUCAAAGAUUUAUCGCUGAAAGA